rnacentral:rRNA from 1 species
GAUGAACGCUGGCGGCGUGCCUAAUACAUGCAAGUCGAGCGAACGGACGAGAAGCUUGCUUCUCUGAUGUUAGCGGCGGACGGGUGAGUAACACGUGGAUAACCUACCUAUAAGACUGGGAUAACUUCGGGAAACCGGAGCUAAUACCGGAUAAUAUUUUGAACCGCAUGGUUCAAAAGUGAAAGACGGUCUUGCUGUCACUUAUAGAUGGAUCCGCGCUGCAUUAGCUAGUUGGUAAGGUAACGGCUUACCAAGGCAACGAUGCAUAGCCGACCUGAGAGGGUGAUCGGCCACACUGGAACUGAGACACGGUCCAGACUCCUACGGGAGGCAGCAGUAGGGAAUCUUCCGCAAUGGGCGAAAGCCUGACGGAGCAACGCCGCGUGAGUGAUGAAGGUCUUCGGAUCGUAAAACUCUGUUAUUAGGGAAGAACAUAUGUGUAAGUAACUGUGCACAUCUUGACGGUACCUAAUCAGAAAGCCACGGCUAACUACGUGCCAGCAGCCGCGGUAAUACGUAGGUGGGCAGCGUUAUCCGGAAUUAUUGGGCGUAAAGCGCGCGUANGCGGUUUUUUAAGUCUGAUGUGAAAGCCCACGGCUCAACCGUGGAGGGUCAUUGGAAACUGGAAAACUUGAGUGCAGAAGAGGAAAGUGGAAUUCCAUGUGUAGCGGUGAAAUGCGCAGAGAUAUGGAGGAACACCAGUGGCGAAGGCGACUUUCUGGUCUGUAACUGACGCUGAUGUGCGAAAGCGUGGGGAUCAAACAGGAUUAGAUACCCUGGUAGUCCACGCCGUAAACGAUGAGUGCUAAGUGUUAGGGGGUUUCCGCCCCUUAGUGCUGCAGCUAACGCAUUAAGCACUCCGCCUGGGGAGUACGACCGCAAGGUUGAAACUCAAAGGAAUUGACGGGGACCCGCACAAGCGGUGGAGCAUGUGGUUUAAUUCGAAGCAACGCGAAGAACCUUACCAAAUCUUGACAUCCUUUGACAACUCUAGAGAUAGAGCCUUCCCCUUCGGGGGACAAAGUGACAGGUGGUGCAUGGUUGUCGUCAGCUCGUGUCGUGAGAUGUUGGGUUAAGUCCCGCAACGAGCGCAACCCUUAAGCUUAGUUGCCAUCAUUAAGUUGGGCACUCUAAGUUGACUGCCGGUGACAAACCGGAGGAAGGUGGGGAUGACGUCAAAUCAUCAUGCCCCUUAUGAUUUGGGCUACACACGUGCUACAAUGGACAAUACAAAGGGCAGCGAAACCGCGAGGUCAAGCAAAUCCCAUAAAGUUGUUCUCAGUUCGGAUUGUAGUCUGCAACUCGACUACAUGAAGCUGGAAUCGCUAGUAAUCGUAGAUCAGCAUGCUACGGUGAAUACGUUCCCGGGUCU